UAUUCUUUUUCAAUAUUAUUUUGUUUAUUAAGUUCCUUGCUUUUCCAUAUGGAUUUUAGGAUCCACUCAUUAACUUAUACAAACAAGGGAGCGGGGAUUCUUUCCUGUUCUUAUUUAUUUGUGUGUCUCCAUUUUCUCCCUUGAAAAUUGGACAUUUAAAAUAAUCCACUGCGUGAACUUUGGAAAUCAGAUUUCCCCCUACUUUUUACUGUUUGCUGCUGUUGUUGUUCUUUGUUUAGAAACUUCAUGCAUUAAUUUUGGAAAUUCUCUAUUCUUUUUCACAUGUGGUCAUGAAGGCUUUGGUUAGCUUAGUGAUCAGCUGAUGAUUAGACAGAGAUUUCUAGUCUUAUUGAUCUGGAACCAAUAGGGCUCCCAAAUCUACCAGUGUACUUCUGUGUGUGUUUGGGCACACCUCAACACUCAGCCAGACAUUGGACAACUCUGCCUUAGCUCUCCCUUCCUGCUUAGGAAGUGCCUCAAGGUCAGACAGAGGUGAGAGCUUAGAGUCUUCAGUCAUUCUUUACCAUACCUACAUCUCUGCAUAUGUACUUGGCCUUCUAGAUUCAAAAAAAAAUAUGAUGUAACUUUUCAACAUUCCUGUGGAAACUGCAUUUCCCAGUCUUACCUUUUAAGCUUUUUGGUUAGUCUAGGGUUUCUCCCAACUAUUAUGUAGUGCCAUAGGUGACUCAGAAGUUAAACAAUUGCCUCAAUACAUCCAACAGUGUCCCCCAAGUCAAAGGCUUUCUGUACUGGGCAAGCACCAAAUCACAUCAUAUAAGCACAGCUUUGUGAGCAGGCCCUUUCAGAGAACUAUCAGGCAGGUCAGAUCAUGACAAUUCUCUGGAAAUGAGGCACCUCACUGAAGGUACCUCACCCUGUUCCUGCCACUCCAGUGGCAGCUAGGUUGGUGGUUUUCACUGUGUUUGCAGACAACUGGUUACAAAGACUACCACAGAGCUAGGGGUACGGUUGAGGAUGGGAACAGGAAAAGUUAAAACACUACAAGGUCACUGGUCUUACCAAAAUUUGGCCAUUUUCCUGGAGUAAAUGUUCUCCAGAUUUGUAUGAGGCUUUGGUUAAAUUCCGUGUUUCUGAAAAGUUGAUUCUCACAAUUUUUGUCAGUUUUUCCAUGACAUUUAAGAGGAGAAAAUAUUCAGAGGUUCUUCCUCUGCCAUUUUCAUUGACAUCCUAUUUACUUUUAUUUAAUUCAUAAUAUUAUGUACAAAAAAUAUUUAGUACACAUCUGGGGUAUUGGCUAUGAUCAAGAGAAUAGCUUAGUCCUAAACAUAACCAUAAGUUAAGAGGAAUUCUUUACUGUGGGAUUUCAUAUCUGGUCCUGCCCUAUGGGGCAGUUUACUGUGAGUUUACUUACCUCUGAGCCUUUCUAUAAACACACCUGCCCCAUAUCCCAUUCUCAAGGGAUCUGUUUGCUAACUUACCAGGUAAUUAAUUUAGGGUCAAGUGCUAAUGACUCAUAAUGGCAUAAUAUGUAAUCAUCCAAAUCACAUUUUCAGGAUCGCCAAGGGCUUCUGUAUCUUAAUCCAAAAUAAUAAGCAAUGUGGGGAUUAUUGGCUCCUUAAGAAGAUCAAUCUCUCUUACAUAGAAUGAGCUCUGAACCAGACACUUAGCCUAAGACAAGUCAGGGUGAUUUGUGGAGUUGAAAUGUUUUUCACUGAAAAUGCCAGAAUGUUACUUUUUUCAAAACGUCUGAAUAAUGUUGGAUUUCCUAUCGCCUCUAAUUCAUUGUCUCUGUUUACUUUGCAAGUAUAGAAAAUAUUGAUGAAAAUGAUCAUCAAUAUGAAAGUAAAAUGCUCCAAAUUAAUACCUUUUUUCUAUGACAAAGAAACCUUUACAAGUGGAAAUAACUUGUAUCUUCACAAGGCCACAUUUUUAGGUCACAAUCUGGACUAAAGAUUUUAUCUAAAAUUUUUAAGCAUUUAUCUUUGCAAAAUAGUUAAGCACAAUUUUUAAUAGUUAUUUAGAAAACAUUGGCCAUAACCCUAAUCUAUACUUAUUAAUAUGUGUCCUUAGAACUCAAAGGUUUUCUCUCUCUCUCUCUCUCUCUCUCUCUCUCUCUCUCUCAGCAUGUGUAUAUAAAAUUGCUGGUGCUAGUUGCUAUGGUCAACAUUUAAAGUGCUAAGCACAACACGAAAUCUAAAAUUCUGUCAGAAAGAAGCUAUUUCUACCACUUGAAAAAUUUCCUCUCUGCGCAGACACUGCUUACAGCUUUCUGGCAUGUGACUUAGGAACAAAGCCAUGAUUCUUUUACCGGAGAAGGUUUGGGGAUAUACUUUGAAUGUUAAGUUAUUUGGGAUGAUGUUUUUUGUCAUUUGAUGCCAGCUGCCACUGUUCAUGCAGAAUUGAGAUAUCAGUUAAACUAAAGCAGAUGCAAAAUAGAUAUUAUAUCUAGACUAAGUAUCAUGCUUAGAAUAUAAACACAUAUCUACAGUGCUUUUUUAUAAAGAUAAGGCUAUGAAUAUUUUAGUAAUGUUUGGUUUUCCUGAUAGAAUUUAGAUUUGAUCUGCAUAGUGCUAAAACCUCUUUAAGAACACCACCACAUACUUGGGUUUUGUGAUUAUUUGGAUAUGAUCAGGGUUAGGUUGUCCUUUCCGUAAAUGAAGAACAGGUUGAAGAAAUCAAUUGUAUAAAAAUGUUAUAAGUGGAGUUCUCAGUUGACUCCACUUUCCUCUAGCUCUAAAUUUGUGAUGAUGUGAUCUUUUUGCAAGCACCAUUUACAUACUGAUGUACUUGUUACAUUUCAUUCUAAUUAGUCAUUAACAUAUGUCUUCUAAGGACAGUUGAGGAAGCAUUCUCUUACCAGAAUUUGUUAUGAGUUUUUUGCUUUUUCUUGUUUCUCUUUCCCCUUCUUUCUUCAAAAUGACAAGAGAGUUUUCUUUGCAGUCAUUUGAAAGUGGCUCAGUUGAGUUAGAGUGAGCUCAUUAAUUGUAGAUUUGUGGUAACCAUAACUAAUUUUUGAGGAAGGCAUGACACAGAUGACUGUAUCCACCAGAAACAAGUUUCUUAUUCCCUGAUUCAAUCACCCAGGGGAUUGGUUCUGCUGGGGCAGGGUGAAGGGAACAGUUUUCAGGGUGUCAGGUAAAAACAGAGACGCUAGUAACGGUGUAAACACUUGUUUCUCCAGGGAAAUAUCUGGACCUGGCUCAAGACGGGACUCUUGUUCUUGACUUUCCUCCUUCCUGUGUCUUCUCAGAUUCUCAGCCCAGUGAUGACGCUGUCCUCCCACUCUGCAUUCCCUAGAUCACACACAAGGCUGUGAAUGCUUGUGUACCUCAUGUGCUGGGCAUUUCCAAGAACCAGUGGCUUCCUGUGAAAGCUGAUUCACAAGAUCAGUGAAAAGAGCCCAGGGAGAAGACAGGAGAUCUGUGUGUCCCCAGCCCUGUCCCCAAACUGUCUGUAAGAACUUUCAGCCUCUGAAACUCAUCAGCAGUAGAAGAUAACUUGUCUCCAAUAUUUGACAGUGGUGAUGUGAAGGUAAAGCAAACUGAUUAACACGAAUCAACUAUGAAAAACUUAAAGCGAUUUACCAGCAUCUUACAUGUAGUAAAUGUAUUUUACACACACACAUAUCUAUUAUAUUAUAUAUACAGGACCGAAAGAAUAAAGAAAAACAUUUUUUGGGUAGGAAAAUGGCAGAGACGACAGCAAUAGCAGUAUUUUCUGGCAAAAUGUUACAGAAUAAGAUGGAGUAUACAGAAAAGUAAGGUUACUCAUUCAAAACAACAACCACAGAUAUUUUUUGUUGAUAUUGUUAGGUUUGGGAUUUAUUUUUUAGAUUUUAAUGAAGAUGGUAGGUUAAUUGAUAACCUUCUUGGCAGGAGACCAUAAUCUUGGCUUUCAGAAUGUGAAUAAAAGGGGCUCUAGUUUCUUUCCCCUUUUUGUAAUAUCGUUGUCACCUCAUAACUACAGCUUGGGGUUUUAGCUACAGUCCAAAUGACAUUUUAAUUAAUAAAAUUUGGCCAUAAUUAAAUUACAUAUAAAAAUAUAU
rnacentral:lncRNA from 1 species